AGGGCUUCUUGGCUGCUCAGCCCCAAGAGGGAGGGUGGCAGGGGCUCCACAGUGCCAUGGACCCUCCCAAACCCAUGCCAGCCUGCUGGGGAAGUCUCGGCUGUGGCAGAAAUCCAGAAACCUUAAGCAGAUGCCUGUCACCCUGUCACCCUGAGCAUGAAACUGUCACCUCCAUCAGGAGGGUGAGACAGCUCAGAGCUGCUGAGGUGUCUGUAGGCUACAGAGGCAAGGCUGGAGGUGCUGGGAUUCAUGCCACAAUCAUGCCACCACACCUGGAUAUUUACAUGGGUGCUGGGGAUCCAAUCUCAGGUCCUCAGGCAUUCACAGAAAGCACUUCACCAGCCAAAGUAUCUCCCAGACCACUUCGCUUUGGAAGUUGUGUUUUGGACCUUCUUAAAGCCACAGUAUCCUUCCAGCCUCCUUUGCAAACUACAAGUGGCUUCUGAGAAGGCUCUGAAGUUCUGACAAGGUAGCCUGGGCAUGUUUCAAGACAAAAGCAGAGGAGCAAGAACAGGGAAAUCCCCACGUGCUUUCUCAAGUUCUAGUCACACCUGAUUGGUUGCCGUCCCAGUGGCCAGAUCUGGACCAGACCAGAGUCAGAGUGAGAAGGGCAGAGGCACAGGGAGCUGUGAAGACCCAGACCCAUCACUGCAUCAGGGAGCCCAGCCCUGUACCACAAAGCUAUCAAGAGCGGCUAUAGGACACCCUGCAAGGGAAGGUGCCUCAUGGAGGGUGCCCCUCAGGACAGAGGACUUUCUGUGUCACAAGGAGGCAGGGUCUUGACAUAUCCUCUGCAUGAACCUGACAAGUCUGGUUUGGAGAAGCUCAAUUCAGAGCUGGUCGAAGCUAGAGUUCACUCAACUGGGCUGUGGCUGCUCCAUGCUGGAACCCCGUCUGCUGUGCUUUCUGUCUUUCCUGUGCCUUUGACCCUAUGCACUGCCUUCCCACAUCACUUCCAGCCUGAACCUGCUCCAGCCCAUGAAGAACAGGAAACAGCAAACAUAAGACCAGUGUUCAUGGGGGACCAGGCAGUGCCAGGUGCUGAGAUCACAGGAAAGGCUGGCCCCCACUCUAGCCUGUGUGCUCAGCUUUGGGGACCAGGACCCUUUUGUGAGAACCCUCCUUUUAGCAAAUGUUGAGCCCUUUCAAAGCUCUUGCCCCUUCUGUUCCCUGGGAGGUGGAUCUGAUGACGGCCAUCUUCAUGUUUAAAUACAUGAGAACCCAAUACCAAGAUGAGUCAAUCAACACACCGGCUUCGGCUCACACAUCACAUAUAUGGCAGUCUUGUCUAAAAUGCCCAUAUCUGAAACCCACAAAGGCCCCUCGCAGAACACCCACCCCCUAGCUUAUCUCAUUUAGCAGGUGACAGGUUCUGUCCAUUCCCAAGAGCUUUGAGAGAUUCUGUCUCCCCGUCCUUCUCAUGGGCUUCUCAGACCCACCCCCUCUUCUGUACCCUGCUGGCCUCUGCCACCUCUCUGUCCUCUCCCUGGCUGGCUCUUCUCUGCUGAUGAAGGAAGCUUGUCUAUGAACGGCUAAAGUGCCUAGAAUCUCUUAUAAAUAUUUCAUGAAAAUAUCUGCCGUAAUAAUUCCAGCCUGUUGAUGCCAACACUGUCACACCUGUACAUUUUAACUGGCCUAAGCAAGCUGGCUCUAAUUGGUGCCUGGAAUUCCAGCAAAGCUGGCUUGGCAGUGAAACAGACAAUUGAGUUCUACAGAGAAUGAGGGAUCGUUUUUAGCUUUGCCAUGUCCUAGAGACCAGAGGCAAUGGGCACAGCAGGGAGAGAGGGGAGGCUCAUGACUUACCCGCGCAUGUGGCACCCUGAGCUUAUACACCUGCCUGGAUUAAUAGGAGUUAUAGAGGCCCCCAGAGGCUCAGCUGCUGGGAGCAGGGGAACCUCAGAGGCAGGACUCAGGCUUGAGAAAAUGGGGACUUUGAUGUUUUCUGCACCAUGAGCCCUGCAACCUUCUGGUAGAGGCCAUGGAAUCUUUCUCAUAACUGGUUAAAAUACAUAAAGUGAGCACGGUUAAUGCAGAGACUCGUGAUUGGCCAAAGUGCUGAGAAUACGGGACUGAGACCUAAAAAGAACGAUUGGAAUGGCCCCCAACUCGAAGGCUCAGAAUGUUGCUGAAGGAGACGCAGAAGAGCCGGUUGGUGGGGAAGAACGUUGUGACUUGCUGUCCUCUGGAUAGGACAUCACUGUUGCACGCCUAAACUUACAGCAGUUUUGGUUACCCGCACAAGUUUCAGAAUGGUCAGGGAGGGGCUUAAGAGGCCCCGCCCCUGAGGAGCUAUUGGCCAUUGACGGCUGCUGGGGGAGGGAUAACAAUUUUUCCCUGGAGUUGUGGCUGGUAGGUUGCCCAUGCUCCAGUGAUCCUACAACCACACCCAUACCGCCAGCUCUAACUGGGCAUGGUAGGAUCUUAAACUACAUAAAAAGAGAACCUGAAGUUGGAAGGUGGGCAUAGUGGGGUUGAAAGAUUCAGAGGUUGGAGAAAGAAGUGGAGGGUGAAUAUGAUCAUAAUACAUGAAGAAAUAAUAAUUUAUAACAAUAAUUUCAUAGAUGACAUUCUCAAAGAAAAAAUAUAAAAUGUUUUAAAAAUAAAAAGACACAAAGUGUAUGUGA